UACAGGUAUUAAUAUGACACAACAUCCCACGUGUGAAAGUGGUUCUAAAACGGUGCCUGCUACUGUUGUUGCCGAUAACACAACACAGUCAAAUGCGCGGUCCGAGGCAAAUGACGUCAUUGAUCACCUUCUGUAGGAAGACACUGCUACCAGGCUUAAGAAGGUGAUAUUGGUUGUUCUAUUUUAAGAAAACACCAACGGUUCUACCUCACCCGCAUCCACUUAGGCGUUCACGAGGCAGUCAGGGCACACUUCGGUUCAAUCACUGCCAGUAACCAUCCACUGAGUAGGCAGCCAAGAUGAGAUGCACGAAAAGGCAAACAACUAUACAGCUACGUCUCAUUUGUCGUCAAAGGCACUACAAUAGCCCGCUUAGGUGGCCAUAAUCUUUGCGUGGGGAAGCGCCGUCCAUUACGAAGAAAAACGACCUGAUAUAUCUACUACCCACUGUUGCGGAGGAAAGAUCUCCUAUGUAGAUCAAAUGCCUUGCAAACUGGGUCGAUCGCCUGUUUUUCUUUUCUAUUUCCCCUGCCUUUAUCGGUUACUUAGCCAUAGAAACGCGAGAUGCGUGAGUAUUUUUGUUGCAGUCCCUUCGUGUCGAUAUACGUGAUCUUUUGCUACUACGCGGUCUUGGUAUCUCUACCGACUCGCAGCACUGACAGUGCCCCAUGCCCGCUGCACCCAACAUGUGUACUCUUACCUUCAAUAAAAUUUUCAACUAGCCAUGUCUAGGGAUAAAAUC